CGUUGAAACGCAAUGGAAACUUCCUAAUUUUUUUGUGCGAAAACACUACUAUUUAGGUUUUUUCUAACCGACAUCAGUGAGAAUAGGCAUUGAACAUUUUUCAGUCGGAAAUUUAGUGGAAAAAUAGUAAUUUUUUAGUACUAUCUCAUCUACGUAGUGGACAAUUGACGCAAAAAGCUUUUUUAAAAUUUGAACCAAAAGUGUCUAAUAGGAACACUUUAUCAUGUGUUCAGACGGUCAAUUCGAACACAUCGUAAUUUGAUGCCUAAAUGAAAUUUACUAACAAAUUUAAGAGGUUGAUGAGGUAUAUAUUAACCCUUCUUUUUUUGAAUUUCUUGUCGAUUUAAACUAUGAAACGUAAAUUAAAACGGAGGCAGUACUUGUUAGGUUACCACCUGGUACAAUCUGAAGAAUGUGUUCCUCUGAAAGAUACAACUUGUCUUAGGCCAUCAGCAGUGGCACAAGAGGCAAAGGAAAUAUUCUUCGAAAGAACCAUCACAGUUAGAGAAGAAGAUGUGUUAUUACAUUAAAAAUUGAACAAGAAACAGUUGAAAGCAUACAAUGUGAUUAUUGAUAGAGUUUUCUCUAAGAAAGCAGGAGCCUUCUUUAUUGAUGGUCCGGGAGGAACCGGGAAAACAUUUUUAUACCGUGCUUUAUUAGCGACAAUAAGAAGUAAGGGAUAUAUAGCUCUGGCAACUGCCACUUCUGGUGUUGCUGCUUCGAUUCUCGGAACCAGGAAAACAUUCUUAUACCGUGCUUUAUUAGCGACAAUAAGAAGUAAGGGAUACAUAGCUCUGGCAACUGCCACUUCUGGUGUUGCUGCUUCGAUUCUUCCAGGUGGACGAGCUGCGCACUCGCGUUUCAAAAUUCCCAUAGACAUUGAUGAAAAUUUCAGCUGUAACAUCAGUAAACAAAGCUCAGCUACGUAUCUGAUUCGUGACGCCAAAUUAAUUGUAUGGGAUGAAGUGUCUAUGACUAAAAAAAAAAGAAUGCUUGAAGUUUUUGACUUGCUCUUAAAAGAUCUUAUGGAUACAAAUAUACUAUUUGGUGGAAAAGUGGUCGUCUUCGGAGGAGAUUUUAGACAAACACUCCCGGUGGUUUGCAAUGGGAAAAAAGAAGAUUUCAUUAGUGAAAGUAUACUGUACUCUACGUUUGGGAGGAACUUGAAAAAUUGCAGCUAUCUGAAAAUAUGAGAGUGAAAACAGAUCCCGCUUUUUGUGAUUACUUAAUGCGAAUUGGAAAUGGACAAGAGAAAGUUAACCAUAGCAACAAAAUUGAGCUUCCAGAUUAUUUGAUCAUUCCUUUUACAACUGAAGAAGAAUCUUUAGAUAAAUUAUUCACUAUGACGUUUCCGAAUUUAAACACAUUCUUCUCUAAUUUCUCUUCUGCAGAUUCUCGUGUUAUCCUAACAACGAAGAAUGAUUUUGUAAAUGAAAUCAAUGAUAUGCUUAUUGCAAAGUUUCCAGAGAAAGCAACUACAUUUGUUGGCAUUGACGAAACUGUUGAGCCUAAUGAUCAAACUCUAUUUGAAGAUUUAUUACACCGCUUGAAUCCUGCUGGUUUACCCCCUUAUAAAUUAACUUUGAAAGAGAAUUGUCCUAUUAUAUUACUACGGAAUUUGAACACAUACGAAGGUUUAUGUAAUGGUACACGAUUAAUAUGUUCAGAUAUUAAGACACAUAUAGUUAGUGCUAAGAUUGUGGCAAGUUUUUCAAAGAUACACAUGUAUUUAUUCCAAGAAUGCCAUUAUUAUCAUCAGUGGAUGAAAGAUUACCGGUUGCAUUUAAACGAAUCACGCUUUCCAAGAAAUUGUGCUAUGCUAUGACGAUAAAUAAGGCACAAGGUCAAACACGGAACUUUGUUGAAAUUUACUUGUGAGAACCUGUUUUUUCACACGGUCAGCUUUAUGUUGCUUUAUCAAGAGCAAAGACUUCGAGUUCUGUUAAAGUACUCAUUCGUCCAUCUACGCCGGCCAACCGUGAUGACCAUUCAACAUAUAAUAUUGUUUAUGAUGAAAUCAUCCACAGAGCAGCCUUACAAUGAAGUCGGGAAUAAACUAUUUCUUGUGUCGAGCUCCAGAACAAGGUCACUCAUGAGAAUUACCAUCGUACGAUGAUCUUAUCCGAUAACUUUUUAUUUCAUGGACGAUAUUGCUACUGCUUAUUGAAGAUCACAACAGUGGACAAUCUAACCAGUUUGUCAACUGCUAGCAAUAUAAGCUCCUGCCAGCAUUCAAUAACUCGGUACGACUCCCAUAGCUUACCUACCUUAUACACUUGCUGAAAUAAACAUUUACAGACCAGUUAAGAUUAUCGUCUUCUCAGUUGUUAUGGGAACUCUUGGUACGUUCUGCUGCAUCUGUCUUUUUUUUUUUUUUUGGCUUGAUCGUCAUUAUUUGCUUUCUUGAUGAUCCAUUUCACUCAUAUUAACUUACUGUUUCACCUUCCUUAUCAAAUAUGCAGUUGAGUCGUUAAUUACUCCACUGAUCUUCACAAUCUAUUCUCUAGCAUAAAGAUUACAUUUUGCAGUUAACUUUGACGAGCUUACACCUUGCUUCAUUUGAGGAUUUUGAUUUAAAAAAGCUGAGUACUUUUGCAGGUUCCUAUCUAGGUGUAUUAAAAUGUUAGUGCCCGUGUUUUUGUCCCUAUGUAUUGGAACACCCAAGUAUCAGUGGAUUCCACCUCCGCAUUCACUCUAAUCCUUCUUCACAGUCCCUCUCUGUUAUUGAUCUCUCUUCCGGUAAUUCCUAUUUUCUUGAUUCUGUAUGAAGUUUAUUAAAUUUUUUGCAUCUUUUCAUAUG